CGGCGGAUGCGUAUCGUAGGAAAACUGUUGGUGGCGCGUUGGUGUGGUGUGGAGUUCGCUCAAAAAAGGGCAACAACUUGUUGUGACGGCGGAAAAAGGGGCCCACACGUUACGUGGUGUCGGUGAUAUUUAACGUCCUCGGUGACUGGUGUUUCGGUUGGCUGUUACUGUUUGGCACUAGCGGUUCGUGACACGGCCCGUUGGGAACCAAAACGAGCGGAAAAAAGCAGGAAAAGCACUGCAAGGAUAUACUGCAGUGGUAGAUUUCCGAAGCCGGCGUGCAACCGGUACGGUGGAAGGAGUGUUGAAGUGCAAAAGGAAAGAAAACUCGAAGAAAAAUAAAAUAAUUCCCAACCCGGCAAUCAGAGGAAAACGAACGAGCAGUGAACGAAACAAAACAAAGCAAAAAGAAGAAACGCAUCAAAUCGAAACCAACGUAAAAAAAAGGAAGAGAAUUGUAGAAAAUUGCUGGUGGAAAGUGAACGAAAAUAGGCGCUUCGACGAAAAGAGAAGAAAACACAGCGUGCGGCUCAAAGUAGGCCACCGUGGAAGUGACGUUGCAGCUGAAACGGCAACGGGUACGAAAACGAAAAAAAAAAACGAGCAGUGUUGCAGCACACAGUAGACUGCGGCGCGCUGGCACGAGUGGAAAGAAAGUGAUCAAGAAAUCAAUCUUUUGCGAUUACACAAUCCCCUGCAGACGUGGAACAUCGUACACGAAACUGCAUCGAGACGUGGUGAGAAAGUGCAGCACGGUGAAACCAUUGAUCGAUCCGCUGUUGAGGAGUGAUUGAGUGCAGCCCAAGUGUCUCGCGAAACGCGCCUAACGAGGGUUCGACACGUCGGGAAAAUUGUCGGAAAAUGUACUUCCCACCGAUUGGGCCGAAUACGACCGCGAUCGUUUCCAGCUGCAAGAAUUUUCCCUGCUGACAUGAGUAACGCUCGUUUGGCUCCUACGACGAACACCUUCACCCCAGUGUACGGCCGUGUUUUUCGUGUCCCGUUUCGACCGUGAACAGUGAGAGUGAUUUUUCCCUUCCUCUGGACUUCAUCACCUUCUUCGCCAUCCCGGUGUCUCCAUUUCACUUUCAUCGGUGGCCUUCAUCUUCGUCGUAGUGCAUCAGCGGCAGAAGAAAGAAAAACACCUUAGAGACAGUGUUGGGGCUGACUGUCACACAGUGAGGGAAUUUUGUGAGGGAAAAAAGUGGCGUAAGAUACGCGACUUUACCGCUUGCUCUGUUUUAGAACAUCGAAGAAUCCGAAGAUCGUCUGGGUGAAGGAGGAUAAAAGUAAUUUCUUUUGAUCCUGCUCGAUACCGUCCUGCAAAGAAGCUCACGAAUCUGUUCUGCAAGCGAGACUUCCGGCGUGUGUGGGAAAUAGUUCCAGUUCCCGUCGAGAGCCAGUUAGAGGCUGUGGAGAAACGAUGAUGGGCAGCGAAAUGUUGAGGAGGCAGUGUUACGGGAUGGUUUUGUUGGUG